rnacentral:rRNA from 1 species
GAUGAACGCUAGCUACAGGCUUAACACAUGCAAGUCGAGGGACCGGCGCACGGGUGAGUAACACGUAUCCAACCUGCCCUUUACUCGGGGAUAGCCUUUCGAAAGAAAGAUUAAUACCCGAUAUAAAGGAUGGGGAUGCGUUCCAUUAGGUUGUUGGUGAGGUAACGGCUCACCAAGCCUUCGAUGGAUAGGGGUUCUGAGUGGAAGGUCCCCCACACUGGAACGGAGACACUGUCCAAACUCCUACGGGAGGCAGCAGUGAGGAACACUGGGCAGUGGGCGGUAGCCAGAACCAGCCACGUAGCGUUAAGGAUGAAGGCUUAUGGGUCGUUAACUUCUGUUAUAUAAGAAUAUGUAUUAAAUGAAUAAGGAACGGCUAACUCCGUGCCAUCAGCCGCGGUAAUUC